GGGAAUAGCGCUAAAAAAGGCAACGGACUCUGACUCCGUCAUUUCAAGGUUCGAAUCCUUGUAGCCCUGCGA
rnacentral:tRNA from 2 species